rnacentral:rRNA from 1 species
CCUACGGGAGGCAGCAGUAGGGAAUAUUGCACAAUGGGGGAAACCCUGAUGCAGCGACGCCGCGUGAGUGAUGAAGUAAUUCGGAAUGUAAAGCUCUAUCAGCAGGGAAGAAAAUGACGGUACCUGACUAAGAAGCCCCGGCUAACUACGUGCCAGCAGCCGCGGUAAUACGUAGGGGGGAAGCGUUAUCCGGAUUUACUGGGUGGAAAGGGAGCGUAGACGGCAGUGCAAGUCUGGUGUGAAAGGCGGGGGCUCAACCCCCGGACUGCUCUGGAAACUGGACGGCUGGAGUGCGGGAGAGGUAAGUGGAAUUCCUGGUGUAGCGGUGAAAUGCGUAGAUAUUAGGAGGAACACCAAUGGCGAAGGCGGCUUACUGGA